ACACGUCUACAUUAGAUACCCCGGUAGUCCUAGCCGUAAACGAUACUCGCUAGGUGUCGGCCACGGUGCGACCGUUGUCGGUGCCGUAGGGAAGCCGUGAAGCGAGCCACCUGGGAAGUACGGCCGCAAGGCUGAAACUUAAAGGAAUUGGCGGGGGAGCACCACAACGGGUGGAGCUUGCGGUUUAAUUGGAUUCAACGCCGGAAAUCUUACCGGGACCGACAGCAAUAUGAAGGCCAGGCUGAAGACUUUGCCGGAUUAGCUG
rnacentral:rRNA from 1 species